GGCUGCUGUACGCCAGUGGGAGGGUGCACGCCUCCUCCCUGGGCCCCCUCAUCGCCCUGGCGGGGAAUGUGGCGCCCCAAGGCUGCUCGCCCCGGGAGGAGGCUGGUGUGCUGGCUGACAGCAUGCCCACUGGGGAGAAACGCUGUGCCCCGAGCGCCCCCACCCCCACGUGCCAGUAGAGGGCUGUGGGUGGAUGCUGCAGCAUGCGUCCCUGGGGGAAGACCUGGUACCUUGAGGCCCCUGUGCACCCCGUGGGCAGAGAUCUUCUACACUGAUUCCAGCGUGGCCAAUUGAGGGGAAGACAUUGCAACCUGAGGCCACCAUGCCCUUGGCAAAUAGAGACAUUUGUGCCCUUGGACCACUCUGGGGGCAUGUAACAGCCUUGGGCAGCAAGUGACUGGCAGAGGACAGCCCGGCAGUCGUUAUCACCACAUAAAGUUGCAUCACUCAUCUAAUCUCAGACAUUCAGUUAACCUGGGAAGAAGGUUUUCUCACCAUUUUACAGAUACUUGUUCCAGAGGGCCAGAGCUGUUCAUACAGGUUUUCUGAGGAGUGUAUAAACCCCACAACAAUGCAGUAUGGCCCAUGAAUCCUUCAACAAGUUAAUAGCCUCAUUGGUUUUCAUGCUAAAAUGAUCUAGGCCUUCAAAAGGAAGCUCCUCCAUGAUUGUCUGCACUUCUCCCCAGAUGCCAGAACUAUGGAACCAGGUUGCCCUUCUCCUCACAACUGGAUGCAGUGGCAGCAGCAUUCAGAGCCAGAUGGAAGGAUGUCCUAGUAAUUAAUUAACAGCCCUUCUGCA